AUGAUCGCUAUUGCCGGCGCGUUGGUCGCCGGUGUGGCAGCCGCGGCCACGGCGGGGAUGCUUGCGUUGGCGUCGUCGCGCGGCGACCGGGGCGAGGAUGCCACGAGCGCCGUGGCGGCGCCGGCGGCGUCCCAGGAGUGCGCGGUGUGCCUGUCGGAGCUGGUCGGAGCGGCGGGAUACUCCGGCGACUCCGAGCCAUCGUCGGCGCUGGUACGCGUGCUGUCGGGCUGUGGGCACGGGUUCCACGACGAGUGCAUCGGCAGGUGGCUGCUGCUGCGCCCCGAGUGCCCGCUCUGCCGCUGCCCCGUGGUCACCGCGGACAGUCGGCUAGCCAGGAAGGCCGUGUCGCUGGCGGAGGCCGCGCCUGCCUUGUCGCGGCCGGCUAGGAUCGCGUGCGGCUUCGGCGACGGGAGGGUGGUGUGGACGCGUAGCCCACCCGUGGCAUUGUAA
rnacentral:rRNA from 1 species